AUUCACAGACACAUUCAACAUUCAACACACACCACAGAUCACAGAAAAUGAAACUAGUUUGGUCCCCAGAGAGAGCAUCUAACGCAUACAUCGACACUGUUAAAUCAUGCAAGCUUUACCGUCAAUCAGGAGUGGCGGAAAUGGUUUCCGCCAUGGCUGCAGGGUGGAACGCGCAGGUCAUCGUGGAGACAUGGUCGCAGGGAGGCCUCAUCGCUACUAGCGUUGGUUUAGCCAUAGCUAGGCGCCACACCGGAGGAAGACACGUCUGCAUAGUCCCCGACGAGAGGUCCAGAUCAGAGUACGCCGCCAGCAUGGGAGAGGCGGGGAUGUUACCGGAGAUCAUGGUGGGUGAACCGGAGGAGGUGAUGGCUGAGUUGACCGGGAUAGAUUUUUUGGUCGUGGAUUCACGGCGAAAGGAUUUCCCGAGAGUUCUGAGGCUGGCGAAACUGAGCAACAAUGGUGCUGUGCUCUUGUGCAAGAACACGGGUUUUUCUCUCUCUUCCGUCAAAUGGAGGAACCUUCUGGGAGGACAUGGUUCAAGCCGUGGUGUUGUUCGUUCGGUGUUUCUUCCGGUGGGGAAGGGGCUUGACAUGGCGCAUGUCUCCUCCUCCGCCACCACCGGGGGUACUUCGGUCAAUUCACAAUCAUCAGUCAGGGGUAAUAAUGGUAAGAGAUGGAUUAAGCAUGUUGAUCAACGCUCAGGGGACGUCCACUACAUUCGAACUUGAAUUAAUUAGUUAUCAGUUAAUCACUGCUAAACCCUUUUUUAUUAUUUUUUUUCUUUCAUUUUUGUAAAUAGCAGCACGCGUGUAGUUUAGUACUGAGAAGUUAGAAGUAUGAAGUAGAUGUUAUAAGAGGAGAAACAGCAGGACCUACCUACAAUAUUCGGGGUAAGGUCAAUUGAUUUUGCUGGCUAACUCUUAUUAAUUAAUAACUUAACCUCCGCUUCCAUUAGCAUAUCUUCAAGUUUGAACUUUGAAGCAAGUUCCCUAGUGCUGUUGAGAUGUUAGGUUAUGCUUCUCCAAUUCCAGGUUGUUUUUUCAACCAUUCAUCUAAUAUGGAUCAGAGUAUUUGAGCUUCUGUGGCUGCUACACUCAGAAACCACUAUGGUUUAGAUUUUAGAACUAAUGAUGUUACAUAAUUUUUGCUUUUUAAAAUAACUUGUAGUAUAUACUCAAAUAGGUUCUGACAAAUUUUUUA